rnacentral:rRNA from 1 species
GAGUUUGAUCCUGGCUCAGAUUGAACGCUGGCGGCAGGCCUAACACAUGCAAGUCGAACGGUAGCACAGAGAGCUUGCUCUCGGGUGACGAGUGGCGGACGGGUGAGUAAUGUCUGGGAAACUGCCUGAUGGAGGGGGAUAACUACUGGAAACGGUAGCUAAUACCGCAUAACGUCGCAAGACCAAAGAGGGGGACCUUCGGGCCUCUUGCCAUCAGAUGUGCCCAGAUGGGAUUAGCUAGUAGGUGGGGUAACGGCUCACCUAGGCGACGAUCCCUAGCUGGUCUGAGAGGAUGACCAGCCACACUGGAACUGAGACACGGUCCAGACUCCUACGGGAGGCAGCAGUGGGGAAUAUUGCACAAUGGGCGCAAGCCUGAUGCAGCCAUGCCGCGUGUAUGAAGAAGGCCUUCGGGG